GAGUAAUGUCUGGGAAACUGCCUGAUGGAGGGGGAUAACUACUGGAAACGGUAGCUAAUACCGCAUAACGUCGCAAGACCAAAGAGGGGGACCUUCGGGCCUCUUGCCAUCGGAUGUGCCCAGAUGGGAUUAGCUAGUAGGUGGGGUAACGGCUCACCUAGGCGACGAUCCCUAGCUGGUCUGAGAGGAUGACCAGCCACACUGGAACUGAGACACGGUCCAGACUCCUACGGGAGGCAGCAGUGGGGAAUAUUGCACAAUGGGCGCAAGCCUGAUGCAGCCAUGCCGCGUGUAUGAAGAAGGCCUUCGGGUUGUAAAGUACUUUCAGCGGGGAGGAAGGGAGUAAAGUUAAUACCUUUGCUCAUUGACGUUACCCGCAGAAGAAGCACCGGCUAACUCCGUGCCAGCAGCCGCGGUAAUACGGAGGGUGCAAGCGUUAAUCGGAAUUACUGGGCGUAAAGCGCACGCAGGCGGUUUGUUAAGUCAGAUGUGAAAUCCCCGGGCUCAACCUGGGAACUGCAUCUGAUACUGGCAAGCUUGAGUCUCGUAGAGGGGGGUAGAAUUCCAGGUGUAGCGGUGAAAUGCGUAGAGAUCUGGAGGAAUACCGGUGGCG
rnacentral:rRNA from 1 species